UAUAUUUUGGUGUAUGAUGCACGGGAAUUUUUGAUGUUUCAGGAAUAGUUUAAUUCUAUUAAAUGUAA
rnacentral:tRNA from 1 species